GUGAACGCUGGCGGUAGGCCUAACACAUGCAAGUCGAACGGCAGCACAGUAAGAGCUUGCUCUUACGGGUGGCGAGUGGCGGACGGGUGAGGAAUACAUCGGAAUCUACUUUUUCGUGGGGGAUAACGUAGGGAAACUUACGCUAAUACCGCAUACGACCUACGGGUGAAAGCAGGGGAUCUUCGGACCUUGCGCGAUUGAAUGAGCCGAUGUCGGAUUAGCUAGUUGGCGGGGUAAAGGCCCACCAAGGCGACGAUCCGUAGCUGGUCUGAGAGGAUGAUCAGCCACACUGGAACUGAGACACGGUCCAGACUCCUACGGGAGGCAGCAGUGGGAAUAUUGGACAAUGGGCGCAAGCCUGAUCCAGCCAUACCGCGUGGGUGAAGAAGGCCUUCGGGUUGUAAAGCCCUUUUGUUGGGAAAGAAAAGCAGCAGGUUAAUACCCCGCUGUUCUGACGGUACCCAAAGAAUAAGCACCGGCUAACUUCGUG
rnacentral:rRNA from 1 species